rnacentral:rRNA from 1 species
UACGUAGGGGGCAAGCGUUGUCCGGAUUCAUUGGGCGUAAAGAGCUCGUAGGCGGUUCGGCAAGUCGGGUGUGAAAACUCCAGGCUCAACCUGGAGACGCCACCCGAUACUGCUGUGACUUGAGUCCGGUAGGGGACCACGGAAUUCCUGGUGUAGCGGUGAAAUGCGCAGAUAUCAGGAGGAACACCGGUGGCGAAGGCGGUUCUCUGGGCAUGUCCUGACGCUGAGGAGCGAAAGUGUGGGGGAGCGAACAGG